GUAGGUGAACCUGCGGAGGGAUCAUUACACAAAUAUGAAGGCGGGCUGGAACCUCUCGGGGUUACAGCCUUGCUGAAUUAUUCACCCUUGUCUUUUGCGUACUUCUUGUUUCCUUGGUGGGUUCGCCCACCACUAGGACAAACAUAAACCUUUUGUAAUUGCAAUCAGCGUCAGUAACAAAUUAAUAAUUACAACUUUCAACAACGGAUCUCUUGGUUCUGGCAUCGAUGAAGAACGCAGCGAAAUGCGAUAAGUAGUGUGAAUUGCAGAAUUCAGUGAAUCAUCGAAUCUUUGAACGCACAUUGCGCCCUUUGGUAUUCCAAAGGGCAUGCCUGUUCGAGCGUCAUUUGUACCCUCAAGCUUUGCUUGGUGUUGGGCGUCUUGUCUCUAGCUUUGCUGGAGACUCGCCUUAAAGUAAUUGGCAGCCGGCCUACUGGUUUCGGAGCGCAGCACAAGUCGCACUCUCUAUCAGCAAAGGUCUAGCAUCCAUUAAGCCUUUUUUUCAACUUUUGACCUCGGAUCAGGUAGGGAUACCCGCUGAACUUAAGCAUAUCAAUAAGCGGAGGA
rnacentral:rRNA from 2 species